rnacentral:rRNA from 2 species
GCCCUUGGAAGGGAUGUAUUUAUUAGAUUAAAAACCAAUGCCCUUCGGGGCUCACUGGUGAUUCAUGAUAACUCCUCGAAUCGCAUGGCCUUGUGCCGGCGAUGGUUCAUUCAAAUUUCUUCCCUAUCAACUUUCGAUGUUUGGGUAUUGGCCAAACAUGGUUGCAACGGGUAACGGAGGGUUAGGGCUCGACCCCGGAGAAGGAGCCUGAGAAACGGCUACUACAUCCAAGGAAGGCAGCAGGCGCGCAAAUUACCCAAUCCCGACACGGGGAGGUAGUGACAAUAAAUACUGAUACAGGGCUCUUUUGGGUCUUGUAAUUGGAAUGAGUACAAUUUAAAUCCCUUAACGAGGAACAAUUGGAGGGCAAGUCUGGUGCCAGCAGCCGCGGUAAUUCCAGCUCCAAUAGCGUAUAUUAAAGUUGUUGUGGUUAAAAAGCUCGUAGUUGAACCUUGGGCCUGGCUGGCCGGUCCGCCUCACCGCGUGUACUGGUCCGGCCGGGCCUUUCCCUCUGUGGAACCCCAUGCCCUUCACUGGGUGUGGCGGGGAACCAGGACUUUUACAAGGGC